rnacentral:lncRNA from 1 species
GAAAAUCAGCUUGAUUUGCUUACAGAUUAAAGGUCUGAUAAACUGACCACCGUGAAACUGAAAACAUUGGUGGUAUCUCUUUUCUUUCCUUGCUUAAACAUGUCUUAGUUUAAGACAAAUUUUUACCUUUCAAGGACUAACUCAUCAGUACAGAAUGUACAGAAUCUACAAAAUCUACAAAUGGUGUAACACCCUCUGAAGUCAAUGGACCUAAUCCUAAGGUGGAACCCUGUCAGACUGUGGCAAGAAUUAAUUAUAUGGUGUAAUCAGCAUACAGGGAUUAUAAAUAAAAUUAUCCAG